UAUAUUUAUUUUAGAACUUAUACUGAAUGAGAAGAUUAUAGAAUGAGAAGAUACAUGUAAUGCAUAUAAUUGACUCUUCUCAAGCCAAGUGGCACUUUUGUCUCUUUAUGUGCAGUGAGUUACACAAGCUCUGGCACCUAUUAGAGACUUAUCCAUCUUAUCAGAGUGAAUUGAUUCGUCACUGAUUGAUAUUUUCUGCUGGGAGAAACCUAUGAACCAGGAUGCUUAUGAAGAAUAUGAAUGCAAAACUAUGCUGGACAUUGUUUGGAUUUUUAUCUUAAGUCUCGGUCCAUUUAGAAUCAUAAGAGAAAUAAUGGAAGAACAAAAUUUUCUGUAUGCUGUCUACCGCCUGCCUUUCAGCUCCCUGCCAAAAAAUGUCAUAAGGGCAGCAUUUCCUAAGAAAGUUUGGCACUUAGGCCUCUAAUGUGGCUGGAAACCAUCGGUGGAAAACAGUCUUUGAGAAAAAUGUCCUAUGCACUUGUGUAAAGACAUAAGUUUUAGUUUAGAGGAAAGGAUAGGAAGAAAAAAAAUAAUGUGACACAUCUGAGAAUUUCUGGAUCACCUGAAUUCUGUUCCGAUGACAAAUUACUUCCGUGUAAAAGGAGAAGCCGAAAACUAAAUCUGUUUGGUUGGAUUUACU
rnacentral:lncRNA from 1 species